AGUAAGCUGGUGAGGUCACCAGCGCGCAGUAUCAGGUUGUGGCAGGUAUGAAGUACUACCUGACGAUGGAGAUCGGCACCACCAGCUGCUCCAGCAGCGACAGCACCGUCCUGUUGUCCGACUGCGCCGUCCUGCUCGGUGGCGGGCGCGAGAUGUGUGACGUGGAAGUGUUGGACCAGCCGUGGAUCGGGGAGCCACAGGUCCUGAACUUCUCCUGUACACCCAAACAGCUCUUUCCGUAAGAGCAUACCGGACAUCACCAAGGGCCACUACAAACACGAGGAAACUGUUAUUCACAUAUGAACAUCAUUGUUCCAAUUAAUAUCGCAUAUAUAA